rnacentral:rRNA from 1 species
AUGGCGCGGACGACGCUCCUCCUCGCCGCACCACCACCACCUGCUCUACCACACGUACUGCUCCUCCUGCUCCUCCUGGGCAUGGCCGCCGCCGACACCACCUCCACCACCAGCAGCACGGCCGCCGACACCUUCUACACCACCACCAGCAGCAGCGAACCGACGAGCGACCAACAACAGCAGCAAGCGUCGUCGUCAUCAUCAUCGUCUGCAGCAACACCAUCAUCAUCGUCUCCAGCAGGAGCAACACCAUCAUCGCCGUCUCCAGCAGGAGCAGAAGCAGAAGCAACACCAUCAUCGUCCUAUCCAGCAGGAGAAGCAGCAACACCAUCAUCGUCUCCAGCAGGAGAAGCACCAUCACCGUCUCCAGCGGGAGGAGGAGGAGGAGCAGGAGCACCACCGCCCCCGCCGGGGCCGGGGUUCUACAAGGGCAUGUCCCGCGAGUUCGUGAACGAGCACAACAAGGUGCGCGCCAAGUAUGACGCGCCGACGCUGGCGUGGGACAAGACGCUGGCCUUGUACGCGCGGCGGUGGGCGGCGCAGAUACAGCAGGACUGCGACCAGGCCCGGCACUCGCCGCAGGCCCAUCCGCUGGGCUACGGCGAGUGCUUCUUCGUGGGCAACAACGGCACCGCGGAGGACGCGCUGUGCAGCUGGGAGAGGGAGGAGUACAUCUACGAGAAGGGCACCAAGCACUGCACCUCCGGCCACGACUUCCGCGACUGCGGCCACUUCGUCAUCAUGAUCGAGAAGACGUACCACUACGUCGGCUGCGGCCGCGCCCCCUGCCUCACCGGCCCCCGCCAGGGCCAGUUCUUCAUCUCCUGCAACUACAGCGCCGUUAGGCCCAACGCCACCACCGCCGGCGCCUCCAACCCCUCCUGA